rnacentral:rRNA from 1 species
UUUCUUUGCUGGCGACCGGCGCACGGUGAGUAACACGUAUCCCACCUGCCCUUUACUCGGGAUAGCCUUUCGAAAGAAAGAUUAAUACCCGAUAGCAUAAUGAUUCCGCAUGGUUUCAUUAUUAAAGGAUUCCGGUAAAGGAUGGGGAUGCGUUCCAUUAGGUUGUUGGUGAGGUAACGGCUCACCAAGCCUUCGAUGGAUAGGGGUUCUGAGAGGAAGGUCCCCCACAUUGGAACUGAGACACGGUCCAA